rnacentral:rRNA from 1 species
AUUGAACGCUGGCGGCAUGCCUUACACAUGCAAGUCGAACGGCAGCACGGGUGCUUGCCCCUGGUGGCGAGUGGCGAACGGGUGAGUAAUACAUCGGAACAUGUCCUGUAGUGGGGGAUAGCCCGGCGAAAGCCGGAUUAAUACCGCAUACGAUCUACGGAUGAAAGCGGGGGACCUUCGGGCCUCGCGCUAUAGGGUUGGCCGAUGGCUGAUUAGCUAGUUGGUGGGGUAAAGGCCUACCAAGGCGACGAUCAGUAGCUGGUCUGAGAGGACGACCAGCCACACUGGGACUGAGACACGGCCCAGACUCCUACGGGAGGCAGCAGUGGGGAAUUUUGGACAAUGGGCGAAAGCCUGAUCCAGCAAUGCCGCGUGCGUGAAGAAGGCCUUCGGGUUGUAAAGCACUUUUGUCCGGAAAGAAAUCCUUGGCCCUAAUACGGUCGGGGGAUGACGGUACCGGAAGAAUAAGCACCGGCUAACUACGUG